rnacentral:tRNA from 1 species
GCCGUGGUAGCUCAGGGGUAGAGCGCUUCCUUGGUAAGGAAGAGGUCGUGAGUUCAAUUCUCAUCCUCGGCU